rnacentral:rRNA from 1 species
GACGAACGCUGGCGGCGUGCCUAAUACAUGCAAGUAGAACGCACAGUUCAUACCUUAGCUUGCUACACCAUAGACUGUGAGGGGCGAACGGGUGAGGAACGCGUAGGUAACCUGCCUGGGAGCGUGGGAUAACUAUUGGAAACGAUAGCUAAUACCGCAUAAUAUUAAUUAUUGCAUGAUAAUUAAUUGAAAGGUGCAAUUGCACCACUACCAGAUGGACCUGCGUUUUAUUAGCUAGUAGGGGAGGUAACGGCUCACCGAGGCGACGAAACAUAGACGACCUCCGAGGGUGCUCGGCCACACUGGGACUGAGACACGGCCCAGACUCCUGGGAGUGGGACCCGUAGGGGAUUCUCGGCAAUGGCCGCAAUGCUGAACGAGCAACGCCGCGUGAGUGCAGAAGGUUUUCGGGUCGUGAAGGUCUGUUGUAAGUGAAGAUUGGGAGUGAGUGUGGAACGUUCACACUGUGACGGUACCGUACGAGAAAGAGCCGGCUAACUACGUG